GGAGUCACAGAACUCCCUCGCAUUUCACAGUCCAAUAAUGAAUCAGCUCCACAGACCACUAGGUCGACUCAAAUCAAAACCUAGGGUUUCGCGAUCUAUAGUCGAACACCUGAAAAUUAAUUUUCCAGUGUCCAAACCUUCGAUCGAAGACUCAAGAACGAACAUACAACGCUCUGAUACCACUAUUAAUCCAAGAUCUGAAAAAUUUAUACAACCAAAUCAUACACAGCAGAUUUACAGAAAAA
rnacentral:lncRNA from 1 species